rnacentral:rRNA from 1 species
UACGAAGGGGGCGAGCGUUGUUCGGAUUUACUGGGCGUAAAGGGCGCGCAGGCGGCUCAUUUUGUCAGGCGUGAAAGCCCCGGGCUUAACCUGGGAACUGCGUUUGAUACGGAUGGGCUAGAGUUCGGGAGAGGAGAGUGGAAUUCCCAGUGUAGAGGUGAAAUUCGUAGAUAUUGGGAAGAACACCGGUGGCGAAGGCGGCGAUCUGGGCAGACACUGACGCUGAGGUGCGAAAGCGUGGGGAGCAAACAGG